AUUGAACGCUGGCGGCAUGCCUUACACAUGCAAGUCGAACGGUAACAGGUCUUCGGAUGCUGACGAGUGGCGAACGGGUGAGUAAUACAUCGGAACGUGCCUAGUAGUGGGGGAUAACUACUCGAAAGAGUGGCUAAUACCGCAUGAGAUCUACGGAUGAAAGCAGGGGAUCGCAAGACCUUGUGCUACUAGAGCGGCCGAUGGCAGAUUAGGUAGUUGGUGGGAUAAAAGCUUACCAAGCCGACGAUCUGUAGCUGGUCUGAGAGGACGAUCAGCCACAGUGGGACUGGGAAACGGCCCAGACUCCUGCGGGAGGCAGCAGUGGGGAAUUUGGACAAUGGGAGCAAGCCUGAUCCAGCAAUGCCGCGUGCAGAAUGAAGGCCUUCGGGUUGUAAACUGCUUUUGUACGGAACGAAAAGCCCCGGGUUAAUACCCUGGGGUCAUGACGGUACCGUAAGAAUAAGCACCGGCUAACUACGUGCCAGCAGCCGCCGUAA
rnacentral:rRNA from 1 species